CGGCGGCUUUUAUAAAACACCGUCUUGUUUCCACACGAAACUCACUUUCAUUCGCGUUCGUCAAAAAGACAGAUUUGCUGUUUGCACAUCAUUAAACAUUCAUUGGAAAGUUGUUCAUAUACAGAGCACCUCAACAAGUGUCGAAUCACACAUCGAUGACAUAAGACGUAGAAUUUUAUGUGAAGGAUGUACUGAACAGAUAUUUCUCUUUAAAAUUGUCGCAGCAACACUUACAGAAAACGCUGAGAUAUCUAUUCCUGUAGAUAGUAACUGUUUGCUGUGCUGCAGCUGUGAUUGAAAAUUUCCAUUUAAAUUGAUGAGCACUUAGAAAAGGAUGAACACACGAACAUUUGAACUGUUUUCUUGCGCAAGUGAACAAUUUGGUUAAGACAUAUGCCAUGUCAAUUUUAGGAAGAAGAAACACACGAAUACACACACAUAUAAAUCAAUAUCUUUUGAAACUGUCAACAAUGACAAUGAAGGAAACGAGGGCAAUGAAAUAUGUCGUUUCAUUAAAUACUAAGCAUUUAAGGAACACUUUUAUAGUCUUCCUAAAUCAUUACUCUAGUGCUUACAUAACAAAUACAAAUCUUUUGACGUGUCACUAUUGUAUAAUUGAUGGAUACUAAAUUGUGUACAUCGAUAUUUGUCUGUUCGAUAUCGUUAAUUGUACCUUUACUGAAAUUAGCACAUUUUAAGUAGGCAUGCAUAUGUUUAUAGAGAGACAAAACACCGAUGGAUUAUUUUAACGAUAAAAUUUUCCAUCAUUUCAUUUAACUAUACUGGGGAUUAAUAAUACUAAUAAUUCUACGAUGGUAAACCUCUACACCCCAGUGAGCAUUUUCUUGAGCUUUCAGCUAAAUAUCCUUUCGUGACAGCGCAUUUCAGCUAUCUCCAAAGCAACACUCGGACAAGUAUAUCAAUUAAAUGAAAAUUAUAAACUUGAGAUCGAAUUUUCGCUUAUUUGCAAGAUAAAAUUGUUAUUUCCUCAAUCGCUAUGGAAACAAGAAAAUACAUUCUUCUAGAACAAAGAAGAAAAAAAAUAGAAAGAACUGUAACGUAUGAUAUGAGCCUCAAAAAAACAUAGUGAAGAUGGAAAUCCAUUACAUGAUAAUUUAGUAGAAGCAUCUUUCUACAACAUUGCUAUUGAUCAUGCUUAGAUAAAGAUAAGAAGUAGUUCAGCCAAUCAUAUUGCAGCAUUUGCAACAGAAUACUCACAGCAGAUAUAUAUGGACGUGAAAAACAUGAAACGUUUGAUAAUGUUUUUUGAUGUAGAGACGGGUUUUUGUGCCGACGCAAACAAAGUAGCUAGCAAGCUAUGCUGGUCAGUGAUCACACAUUUAAUCCAUAAAGCAGUAAUUAAAUGUGAGCCUGCGAUUGCUUAGCGAGUGUUCGAGAGCUUUUAUUCGCGACAGCUGCUUAUAGAAAGAAUUCUCAUUAAGGAUACCCAAAAUAUUUUAACGUCAAUUUUUCUUUUUAUCUGACUAAACUAAUGAUUAAUUAACGAAUAUUUUUUGAGAUAUUAGAUCGAGCGCGUUUAUCUUGCCGUAAUAGCGCAAAGAAAAGCCUUCCCUCAAAAAAACAUGCGUUCAUUUACGAGUUUCGAUGAUUGCUGGAUGUUGAUGAAGAAAGUUUGAACAUGCAUAUCGAAAAUAGCUCUUAAAAUACUUGUGAUAUAGUUCAACAAGUUGUUCUAAAACAAAUUCUUCAAAACUAAGAGAGCUAAAGAAUCAAACGUAGCGUCGAAAUUACUUUAAAGUGGUCAAAGGCAACAAAGAAAACAAACUGAUUGCCUGACAAUACACCCAGCUGCAUCACAAUGAAGACAAAACAGCUAACCAUUGUGCUAUUGACGAUAACGCUGUUGCCAAAAGUUUCAGGUUUAAGAUGUUAUAAAUGUCAAAAAUACGACAAACAACGUGAAGAACGAAGAUCUUCCCGCCUGUAUCCUGGAGCCGGUCAUUUGCGAUAGCAGUAAGAACGAAACACAUUGUGCCAGUACGUAUGUGAUAUUGAACAACAAAACGGAAGUUUCACACAAGCGUUGUGCAAAUGAAGAGUUCUGCGUGACCUCCCACAAUUUAUGUAAGAAAUUAUUAAACAUGAACAAAGUGUUGAAAUGUCAUCCAUUUUGUUGUGAAAAGAACUUUUGUAACAUGGAUGUACAUAUAAAGAAAUGUUUUAGCAAUCAUAAUUUGCGCCUCAUUGAAAGUCGAUUUAUGCUACUGAUGACGUCAUUAUGCGUACUUUUGUUACAUUUCUACCAGCUCAUAUAAUCCUACUAAUAUACAAAGUAGAGAACACCUAUGUUAGUAUAAAACUUUGCUCGAAACGUCAAUUGAAAUCAAUUGAAAUUUUUCCUGUUUUCGUGUAAAUAAUCCAAUAGUUUGUUGUAUUUAUAUUAAUUACAAGUAUGAAACUUUUCAAA